AGUCUUGCAAUUGGAUUGAGAACAACGUACAACUCUUAUCGAUAAGCCAUUGGAGGGCAAGUCUGGUGCCAGCAGCCGCGGUAAUUCCAGCUCCAAUAGCGUAUAUUAACGUUGUUGCAGUUAAAAAGCUCGUAGUUGAAGUGAGGGAGUGUGUGGUCAUGAGAGCUAGUCUCGAGUGUUCACAACCUCCCCCCUCCAAUCGGUGUAGUGGGGUAUUCAGUUAUUUCACUACUCCUUUGGUCGUUUACUGUGAGAAAAUUAGAGUGUUCAAAGCGGGCGUUUGUUUGAAUAGAUUAGCAUGGAAUAAUGAUUGAAGGCUUUCGUGUUCGAUUUGAUUGGUUUGUUCAUGGAAGCAAGGUUAAAAGGAACAGUUGGGGGUAUUCAUAUUCACUAGUUAGAGGUGAAAUUCUCGGAUUUAUGGAAGAUGAACAAGUGCGAAAGCAA
rnacentral:rRNA from 1 species